rnacentral:rRNA from 1 species
GGCGACCCGGCGGUCAUGUCGGUGGUCUGGAGGAACUUUUUAAGUACCGAAAGCACGACACGUCGGAGUCUGAGCGCACGAGUCGGUACCCGAAAGAUGGUGAACUAUGCCUGGCCAGGGCGAAGCCGGAGGAAACUCCGGUGGAGGCCCGAAGCGGUUCUGACGUGCAAAUCGAUCGUCGGAGCGUGGUAUAGGGGCGAAAGACU